AGAGUUUGAUCCUGGCUCAGGACGAACGCUGGCGGCGUGCUUAACACAUGCAAGUCUAGGGGGCCCGCAAGGGUCACCGGCGAACGGGUGCGUAACACGUGAGCGACCUACCCUGGAAUGGGGGAUAGCCGGCCCAACGGCCGGGUAAUACCGCAUACGCUCUUCGAGCUUCAUGGCUUGGAGAGGAAACCUUUUGGGUUCAAGGAGGGGCUCGCGGCCUAUCAGCUAGUUGGUGAGGUAACGGCUCACCAAGGCUAUGACGGGUAGCUGGUCUGAGAGGAUGGCCAGCCACAUUGGGACUGAGAAACGGCCCAGACUCCUACGGGAGGCAGCAGUGGGGAAUAUUGCGCAAUGGUCGAAAGACUGACGCAGCGACGCCGCGUGGAGGAUGACGCCCUUCGGGGUGUAAACUCCUGUUGCUCGGGACGAACCUCUCCUUUCGAGGAGACUGACGGUACCGAGGAGA
rnacentral:rRNA from 1 species